GUGCUGCCCCAUCCCGGUGGGAUCUGUCCCAUGCUAGUGGGAUUUUUCCCACGGAAAAGUGCCCCGUCUCAGCGGGAUCCGGCCUUUCCCUACGGGAUUUUUCUCCUCCCAGGGAGAAGUGCCUUGUCUCAGUGGGAUCUGGCUUCUUACAGUGGGAUUUGACCUGUUUUUCAGUGGGAUCAUUCCUUCUUUUGUAAGAUCUGCCUCACUUCUGCAGGAUUUGCACCAUUCCAGGGAGAUCUGGCCCUCCCCGGGGAGUUCCUGCUGUCCCCAGUGGGAUCCGUUUCAUGCAGUGGGAUCCGAGCCUUCCCAUCAGGCUCUGCCCCUUCCCCUGGGGUUCCUCCUGGGGAGGAUGGGCCAUGGGUUGGGAAGCAGGGAUGUGGCAGGCAACAGCUGUGGUGCAGUGCUUAGGAUGCACAUUCAGGUGCUGAUGAUGAAUGGGCAUACUAGGGCUUGGAGUGCAGCCCUGGCCGCAGAGGGCAGGCAGGUUCUGCAGGAGGAAGAUGCUGGCAUUGGCUUCACACAAGUCAGAACAAUAACAAGUGAGCACUUGGUUCUAAAACCACAAGCUGUUGGUGGCCAGGUGAGCAGCAUGAGGAUGGCAGGGUGAGAGCCUGAGGAACAGCAUUUGAUGCACAGAGAAGGGUGAGUGGUGUUUACCUGCAAACAUAGGAUGCAGCCCCAAGAAUCAUUGGGUCAGUCCGGAAUCUUGGAUCUGAGCAUUGAGGGCUUUGAGACCACCAAGACCCAUUGCAUUUUCCUGCAAGGAUGUGAGGCUGCAUUCUGCCCACUCUUUUUGUUAAUGCAUGCAUGGUCUUCUUUCCAGCUUCCCUCCCGCAGCCUUUUGCCUUCCUCACAUACUUCCUACUGCAAGAAUUUCUUCUGGCAGUGUCCCCCAGUUCUGGGCACAGCAGCUGCAGGAGCAGGGAAGCAUCCCUAAGUGCACAACGUUUUCCUGCCUUUGUGAUUUGCUGGCAUUUGUCUCAGUGCAUUAAUCUUUGGGAUUAUCUGUGGAUUUAUCUUUCACGCUGGUGCCGGUGUGGAGUGCAGUAGAGAAAGAGGAGCAGAAAGCCAGAGUGGUGUUGUGCAGGCAGCCCACUGCCUUUACAAGCACUGUGGGUAGGAGGACUCAGCAUUGCUGACCAGGACUCUGCUGGUGCUCUGAGUCAUAGAAGCAUCCCAUGAGCUGUAUUUGUAAUGAGGAUGCUUCUCAGCUGCAGGGUUCAGCCUGAUGCAAGAUCAGCUUCUUUCCAUGCCCCUGUGAGCCGUGUGCUCCAAAAUGCCUAUGUGACCCUUCUGUGCCCACCUGAGAGCUGGGGAUGUGGCAAUGCCAGCCCAUAGGACAGCAUGAGCUUCUCUGGAUCCCAGGCUCCUUCAUCCCAUGGCUCUUCCCGAGGAGAAUAAGAUUUUUGGUGGAACAUGCAGGAGGAAUGCGUGCAAGAUGGGCCUGGGGCUUUGGAGCAGCCUGCAAAGCAGGUUCGAGGAAUGUUACCAAAAAAUAACCCUUAGCUGGGGCUGAGCUUGUCAUGUUUCCCUUCUGGCCUUUGCAAGGGGUUUGUGCCAGGCUGCUCCCCGCUGUGUCCCCAAGGACUGUGAUCAGGGGAUGUAUUGGUGGCUGGAAGUCUGGGGCUGUCAGACAGCAGGAAAUGCUGCUACUGUGAGCCCUUUGGUGUUGCAAUAAGACAGAGGACGCUGAAGUGGUUUAUCAUUUGCCACUGGGAGAUAAGAUCUCCUAGGAGGUGAAAGGCCGAGUGGCAUUUAGAUGGAGAUGCUGAGCCAUUGGAGACCAUAAAAUAAGCUGCUGCAGUGUUUUGCUAUAGCAGCAUGAAAGUUUGCAAUAACUUGCUGCUACUUCUAUUGUCCUCUAGAUGAAUUUCCAGGGCAACGGGGAGCUUUCAGGCCACUAUGAGGGUUUCCACGAGCUGUUCCAUGCUUUCCCAGGGUGGUGGGUUUAGCUGUUGGAGUUGGGCUGGUGGGAGCUGGGGGAGCAGUGCCUCUGAUGUUCUGAAUGCUUCUGUGCUUUAUCCAGAGGAGGAGAAAGAGAGGGAGAGGUUGAGGCUGCCUGCCUUCCUGCAGUGCAUCUCUUGGAGCCGGAGGAGCCAGAGAAAAGGCCACGUGUCAAAAGCUGCCAACAAUGUUCAUGAAGACAACCUGCAGGACCCCCAAGAGGUGGCUCUGACCAGUCUGUCUCCCAAUGGAAACUACGAAGAUGCUGCUGGAGGUGUGGGCACCUAAAGCUGUGGGUGCCUGAUGUGAUCCCUGUCCCGGUCCUGCCUGGCUGAUGUGGAGCAGUGGAAGGAGAAGCUGUGCCCACUCGCCCUCAGAGAGCCCACAGAUUUCAUCAAGAUCUUCUGUGGCUGCCAACAGCCUCUGUGUUCCAUAACAAAGCCACCCCCUGCCCAUGGGGCUGUGCUGGUGGACACUGGGCUUUGGAGGAGCCCUUUGGGAGUGUAUUUUCCAUCCUGGGCAAGGUGACGUGGGGACUUCAGCUUCCAUCUGCCCAAACAAAGGGAAACGAACAUAGCUCCCCACUGAGAUUGCUAGAGAUGGCCUCCCAGGCAAACAGAUUCUGAUGCCUUAUUUUUCUUCUUUAUUCUUUAUUCUGAAGCUGCUGACCUCUCUCUGAUCUGGGGAAAAAAAGAAAAAGAUAAAUAAUGCAGUGGCAUGGAGAUUGCAGUGGGACUGAAUAUGAAGUCUUGUAUCUACCAGCCAGCUGAAAAGCUUGGAAACGUGUGAAUAACAUGAAGAAAUACAGCUCUGGACAGCAAGUAUAACACCAAAGAUAUUCCUGGCAGCUGGAGCAGAGGGUGGUUCUGAGAGCAGGAUGUGUCCGUCUGUCCCAUGUGGUGCUCGCAGACUGACUGACACGCUGCCCAUGCUGGAGGGAGGCAGACAGGACUGCGGUGUGCACGGUGUGAGAUGGGGUAUGGCACAGGUCCGUCAUACCUGGGAAUCUCCACAGCUGUGGUGGCAGCUUCUGGGUGUGCCCGCUGCAUUCCCCUCAAUGCGAUGGGGCUGCUUCAUGAAUUGAUAGAAAUGUUUAAACAUCACCUAUUUAAGCAGUUCCGAAGGGCUGCCUGUGGCCUGGGGGGCAGCAUGGAAUCACAGUCACAGAAUGGCUUGGUUUGGAAGGGAGCUCAAAGUUCCAACCCCCUGCAGGAUUGCUUUAUGGGUGAUAGUAUGUAAUGCUCAAAUACCUCUUUAAACUUUUAUUUUAAUGCAACAUAAAGCAGGUCUCAUUUUAUUUUUAGCACACACGGCUGGGUUUUGUCUGUGCCUGGCCAUCCUUCUGAAGCUCUCCUCAGCUCAGGCAGAAGCUCCGGCCCCUCCUGCAGCCCCACUCCAUGCUGGGUCACAGCAGUGCACCCUACAAUCAUAGAGCUGAGUUGAAAGGGUCCCUUAAAGGCCUUCUGGCCCAACUCUUUGCACUGAACGGGGACACCUACAGCUCCAUCAGUGCUCAGAGCCCCGUCCAGCCUGACCUCAGCUGUCUGCAAGGACAGGGCACCACCGCCUCUGUGCAACCCGUGACAGUGCCUUACUGUGAAAAACUACCUUCUAACGGUGCUGCCCUGCCCUUUGGGAGCAGGAGUGCUUUCCUGCAGGCCAUGCCCAUGCAUUAGCCCUGUGUCAGCCCAGCACUCUGACCUCCAUUCUGUUUCCCCACGCCGAAGUGCUGCGCUGCGUUCUGCGCACCCUAAUGAUUUCCUAAUUGAAGGGCACCGUUAUUCCAAGUGCUGGCUGUACUCAAUAAACACACUCAAUUUCUCAACUGAAA